CCUACGGGUGGCUGCAGUGGGGAAUAUUGGACAAUGGGCGAAAGCCUGAUCCAGCCAUGCCGCGUGUGUGAAGAAGGCCUUCGGGUUGUAAAGCACUUUCAGUGGGGAAGAAAGCCUUGGGGCUAAUACCCUCGAGGAAGGACAUCACCCACAGAAGAAGCACCGGCUAACUCCGUGCCAGCAGCCGCGGUAAUACGGAGGGUGCGAGCGUUAAUCGGAAUUACUGGGCGUAAAGCGCGCGUAGGCGGUCUGAUAAGCCGGUUGUGAAAGCCCCGGGCUCAACCUGGGAACGGCAUCCGGAACGGUCAGGCUAGAGUGCAGGAGAGGAAGGUAGAAUUCCCGGUGUAGCGGUGAAAUGCGUAGAGAUCGGGAGGAAUACCAGUGGCGAAGGCGGCCUUCUGGACUGACACUGACGCGGAGGUGCGAAAGCGUGGGUAGCAAACAGGAUUAGAUACCCUAGUAGUC
rnacentral:rRNA from 1 species